CACCAGCCCCUCGAGUGGUGGGGAUGAUUAUUUGGCCUAAAGCGUCCGUAGCCGGCCGGGUAAGUUUCCCGUUAAAUCCAGCGUCUCAAGCGUUGGACUGCGGGAAAUACUGCCUGGCUAGAGAGUGGGAGAGGUCAGCGGUAUUCUGGGGGUAGGGGCGAAAUCCUUUGAUCCCCGGAGGACCACUAGUGGCGAAGGCUGCUGACUAGAACACGUCUGACGGUCAGGGACGAAAGCUGGGGUAGCGAACCGGAUUAGAUACCCGGGUAGUCCCAGCCGUAAACGAUGCAUGCUAGGUGUUGGGUUGGCCACGAGCCACCCCAGUGCCGCAGGGAAGCCGUUAAGCAUGCCGCCUGGGAAGUACGAUCGCAAGAUUGAAACUUAAAGGAAUUGGCGGGGGAGCACCACCAGGCGUGAAGCCUGCGGUUU
rnacentral:rRNA from 1 species